UACGUAGGGGGCUAGCGUUGUCCGGAAUCAUUGGGCGUAAGGCGCACGUAGGCGGCUUUCUAAGUCAGGGGUGAAAUCCUGGAGCUCAACUCCAGAACUGCCUUUGAUACUGGAGAGCUUGAGUCCGGAAGAGGUGAGUGGAACUCCGAGUGUAGAGGUGAAAUUCGUAGAUAUUCGGAAGAACACCAGUGGCGAAGGCGGCUCACUGGUCCGGUACUGACGCUGAGGUGCGAAAGCGUGGGGAGCAAACAGG
rnacentral:rRNA from 1 species